GGGGACGAAAGGCCUCGACAGGAACAAUCUUUCCAAUAUGCAAGUUGAGUACUCUGUAAUCUCACAAAACUUACAGAAAAAUAUAAGUGCAAACUUAUUUAGCAAGGUAAGAAGCGCCUUUGCAGGCACUUUGACUCCUGCACCAGUUUACGCUUAAAUAACGUAAACCGUCUGUCUGCUGACUCUUGAUAGGCAGAAUAGGCGUCAUACAUCGGGAUAGAAUAUUUACCACUCCUCACUAAAUAUUCGAAAAAAAGAGGAUAGGAAUACAAGAAUUUUGCUAAGUUUUUAUCUUAUAUUCCGAAUGCAAACAACUUAGAUAAACUUGUAGAAAUAUUGUUUGAGAUAUUCUUUGGACGCGAGUUCGAUUCUCGCCGUCUCCACU
rnacentral:tmRNA from 1 species